GGGAAAAAAAAAACAAAGGAAGGAAGAGAGAAAAGAGAAUGAGAGGAAGAGAAGGAAGGGGAAAAACAAGAUUGACUUUACAGUAUGAGAUAUACUAUUAUAUAUUGGACCCUUGGUGGGCAGUGCCUAAACAGAGACAACUACAGGUUUCUGGCUGUGGCCACUCUCUGGUGAAACUAAGGGGUUUCUGUGUGGAGGUGCCUAACAGCCACCGUCCAGUUUGGGUAAAGAAAGCUUUUUAUGGUUCACUAAGGACAAUCAACCCCUUCGCAAUCUAGAACCAAAAGACUGGAUCUUCUGAGAACAUCUACUUAGUAUGAUGCCUCUGGCUUCCCUCUAUCACACGUCUUCUUUUCGAGUAAAGGUUUUUCAUAAAUGUGAGCGUGGAAGAAGAAACCAGUUAAAUAUGGAACUUCACACCAGGACACAAAAGGACUUCAAACUUUUAGAUUCCACAAGUAUGUGAAAAGAUGCAGUAUUUGUCUUUCUGUGCAUGGUUUACUUCACUUAUCAUCAUGUCCCUCAGGUUCAUCCACGUUGUUGCAAAUGACAGGAUUUCAUUCAUUUUUAAGACUGAAUAGUACUCCAUUAUGCAAAUAUACCAGAUUUUCAUUGUCUAUUCGUUCACUGAUGAACACGGGUUAAUCCUAUAUGUUGGCUAUUGUGAAUAAAGCUGCAAUGAAUAUGAGAGUACAGAUAUAUUCUUGACAUAUUAAUUUUAUUUUAUUUGGCAAUAUACCCAAUAGUAGCUAGAUCAUAUCAGAGUUCUAUUUUUAAUUUUUGAGGAAACUUCAUACUGUUUUUCAUAAUAGUUAUUACUAAUUUACACUCAGUAUACAAGAGUUCCCUUUUCUCCACAUUCUUUCCAAAAUUUGUUUCCUUUUCCCUUUUUGAUAACAGCUACUCUAACUGGGGUGAAAUAAUAUCUCACUGUGGUUUUAAUUUUCAUUUAUCUGAUUAAUGAUUUUGAGCUUUUUAAA
rnacentral:lncRNA from 1 species